GAAGGUGCGAGAGAGCAGCACCCUGCUUUGGUUCAGGUUUUUAUUAUUAUUAUUUCUCCGAAAAAAGAGAAAACGUGGCCUUGAAGCGUCCCCUGGGCGCAGGAGCUGUGAAGGCGCCGCGCCCACGCCGGCCCCGAAACACACGUUCCCGCGCGGCCUCGGCAGGUGGCCCGGGAGACUGGGUACUCCAUCCUCCGCCUCUCCUCGUUCCUUUUAAAUGGACUGAACCCAUCCUGUUGGUUCGAAGCCCGGAGACAUCGGGGUGGACGUUGAAGUCGCCUGAGGCGCUCCCAGCGGAAUCUGCACUCCCAAGGCAAUUGUAGAUUUCAGAUUUCUCCCAGUAGAAAAACUGCCAUUAGAAUUGGGGAGAGCGUGGCAAGUGCCUGCGUCUUUAUCAGCUGAGCGGAGCUGAUUCAAAUUUCGGAUCCUAAUUUUUCCAGAUUUUGGCUUUAGGAAUAAAUCGUAGGAAUAUUUGAGAACAUGGAAUCUCGCCAUUUUUCCAGAUGGCAGCAAAGUAGGCAUGGUUGACAUUUUAGCUUUGCUAGAGGGGAAAAAAAAAGAAAAUUACAUGUCUUUUCUUCUUUUGUGUGAUUGGCAUCCUUUUUUAGAAGAUGUGCAUUUUCAUAAGGCAGGAAAUGACCCUAACAAAGCGACCUUAUUUAAAAGUAUAAGCUCAGUCGUCCAAGUUCCUGGCCAUUCUUCUCAUCAUUCUUUUUUUAAGAAUUAUUUAAUUAGCAUAUCUAAAGUCUGUUCUCAAGAUUCCUUUCAUCUUGGUGUCACAUAAAUUACAAUAUAACUAAAUAUGUCUUUAUAAGACAUUGCUUUUUUCUUUUCUUUUCUUUCUCUCUCUUUUUUUUUUUUUUUUUUUUUUUUUUUUUUUGAGUCACCACAGUUUGACCAAGAGCUUGAAUUUUUUUUCACUUUUUACUUUGAGAAUUUAAGUUUAAUGUUUCAGCCCGGGAAUUCUGAGGGCAAGGGCUUUAAAAACGAGGUAUAAAAGAGAAGAACAAAAUCUCACAAUUAGGCAUUGCAGAGGUUUCAUAAGUCAAUAUCAGAUUUCUUCUAAAAUAAUAUUUCUUUUUUUAAACAGUCUCUGUUUCAUAAUUUCUCUAGUGAUAUGGGAUGAAGAGAAGUUCACAUUUAACAUGACUUUUAUUAUGGAUAAAAUGCUUGGGCUGCAUGAAAUGGUACAACUUUCCUUGUAACACUUGUUGAAAUGCAGGUGGUUAUUAAAGAGAUUUACAUUCCCAUGAUAGGCUUGCCUUUUGUGCUUUUCAGGGGAAAAAAAAAAAGUGAAGGGGUAAGUUUCAGGAAAGAAAUCCUGUGUGCUUUUUUCCUUUCAUUUUAAAGUUAUGCCUCUACCGUAGAUCUUUCGAUCUUUCUUUUUCCUUUUUCCUUUUUCUUUUCUUCUUUUUGGGAGUGUACACAUGGCAUAUGGAGGUUCCCAGGCCACCAGCCUAUGCCACAGCAAUGUGGGAUCUAAGCUGAAUCUGCAACCUAUACCGAAGCUCAUGGUAACAACGGAUCCCAAAGCCACUGAGCGAGGCCAGGGAUCAAACCUGAAACCUCAUGGUUACUAGUUAGGUUCUUUUCUGUUGUGCCACAAGAGAACUCCAGAUUUUUCGAUCUUAAGAAAACAAAGACUUGAAUCUUAUUGGACAGAAUUUUCAUAUGUUUCAAAUGUCCCUUGGCUACAAGGAGGCACUUUUGAAGGAACGGCUUGGCCUCCCCUAUUAACCGCCCCCCCCCAUUUUUGCAAUAUCCAUUAUGCAGUUGUAAGGGGUCACCCACCAGAGCAAAGAUUGGCAGACUGCUCCUUUCGUGAAGAGCACCAUAUUAGGUGUUCUGUGUGUGGCUGGGCUACAGGAAAAUAGGGGAAGUUUAACCAUGUAGUUACGCCAGAAUAAAAUGAAUGAAUGAAUGAAUGAACGAAUGUUAGGUGAGAGAAAAGCAUAAGGGGAAGUGAUAAUUUAUCAGUCUGUCAAUAGGUACACAUAAAUAUUCAUCGUUGAUCCCCGACAAUGCAAGUGUUCAGGCUGUAGUUAAAAAAAAAACAUCGCUGACCAUCAGAAGAAUGCUGUUCAUUCAUUUAUUCAUUUGUUCAGUCAGCCAUCAUCCAUCACCCAGAGCCUUUUAUAUAUCAGUCAUUGCAGUCUGUAAUUAUUGGUGGGAACCUUGAAUUAAGUUCUCAGAAUAUUCCUCACAUGGCACCUAUAUGAGUCAGAGCCUUGCAAAGCACCUUAUCCACCAGAGUCUUGCAAAGCGCCUAGUGUAUUAGAUGUUCCGUAAAUGCUAGUUGAAUGAAUAAAGGAAGAAACAACUCAUUUUCUUAGUUACUAGAGAAAGGAACCUCCUUGAAAAUUAUGUGUAAAUUAGUGUUGUUUAGGGAAGGAAAGAAGUGUUGCCCUCAAUUUUUCCUGUGUCCAGUGAAUACUUGAGGGGGCAUUUUUUUCCUUGCUUACUAACAAGUCAGUGGUUUUAUUAUUUAAUGAAGCCAGUAUUUGUGUGCAUAAAAUAGAAAAGUUAUCAGUGAUCAAUGGUGCCAUCUGGUGUACUUUUUCAUUUAAAUAAAAAAUGCUGUAAGUCAUUUUUACUAUUUAAGUUUUCUGUUGCUAUGUGAUAGCCUUUAUCAAUAAAAAUAUUUAUGAGCAGACCUCAGAGAUGCUGCUGAUUUGGCUCCAAGUCAUUGCAAUUGGGCAAGUCACAUGAGUUUUUGGUUUCCCAGUGCAUAUAAAAGGUGUGUUUACACCAUACUAUAAUCUAAAUGUGCAAUAGCAUUCUGUCUUUAAAAACAAUAUUCAUACCUUAAUUUAAAAGUAAUUUUUUUGUUGUUGUUUGUUUGUUUUUUAGGGCCGCACUCUUGGCAUAUGGAAUUUCCCAGGCUAGGGGUUGAAUUGGAGUCGCAGCUGCUGGCCUACACCAUAGCCACAGCAAUGGUGGAUCCGAGCUGCAUCUGCUACAUACACCAUAGCUCACAGCAAUGCUGGAUUCCCUACCCACUGAGCAAGGCUAGGGAUCAAACCCGAAUCCACAUGGAUGCUAGUCAGAGUCACUUCCACUGCACCACAACAGGGACUCUAAAAAGUACUUUAUUGCUAAGAAAUGUUACCAUCAUCCAAGCCUUCAUUGAGUCAUAAACCUUUUUUGCUGGUGUGGGGAGUCUUGUCUCAAAGUUGAGGCUGCUAACUAUCAGGCUGGUGGUACCUGAAAGUUGGGGCAGCUGAUGUAAUCUCUUAAACUAAGACAACACUGAAGUUGGCUGCAUCAGUUGUUCCUUUCAGGAAUGAUUUCUCUGUAGCACGAAAGCCUGUCUGAUUGUAUUUUACCCACAGUAGAAGUUCUUUUUAAAUUGGAGUCAAUCCUCUCAAAGCCUUCUGCUGUCUUAUCAACUAAGUUUAUGCCAGAUUCUAAAUCCUCUCUUGUCAUUUCAGCAUCCUUCACAGCAUCUUCACCAGGAGUAGAUUCUAGCUCAAGAAACCAGUUUCUUUGCUCUUCCCUAAGAAGUAAUUCUACACUCGUUAAAGUUUUAUCAUGAGAUGCAGCAACUCAGUCACAUCUUCAGGCUCCACUUCUGAUUCUAGUUGUCUUGCUGUUUCCACCACAUCUGCAGUUCCUUCCUCCCCUGAAAUCUUGAACCCUUCAAAGCCAUCCGUGAAGGUUGGAAUCAACUUCUUCCAUACUCCUGUUUAUGUUGAUAUUUUAACCCCUUCCCAUGAAUCACAGAUAUUCUUAAUGGCAUCUAGAAUGGUGAAUCUUUUCCAGAACUUUUUCAACUGACUUUACCUAAUCCAUCAGAGGAGUCAUUAUCUAUGGCAGCCAUAGACUUACAAAAAAAUGUGUUUCUUAAAUAAUAACACUUGCAAGAUGAAAUUACUCCUUGACUUCUGGGCUGCAGAGUGGAUGCUGUAGUUAGCAGACAAGAAAACAACAUUAAUCUCUUACAUCCCUGUCAGAGCCCUUGGGUGACUGGGGGCUUUGUCCAAGAGCAGUAACAUUUUGAAAGGCAUCUUUUUUUUUCCUAAGCAGUAGGUCUCAACAGUGGGCUGAAAGUAUUCAGUAAACCAUGUUGUAAAUGGAUGUGCUGCUCUUCAGGCUUUGUUGUUUCAUUUAUAGAGCACAGGCAGAGUAGAUUCAGCAUAAUUCUUAAAGGCCCUAGUAUUUUCAGAUGGUAAAUAAGUGCUGGUUUCAACUUAGCUGCAUUAGCCCCUAACAAGAGAGUCAGCCUGUCCUUUGAAGUUUGAAGCCAGACAUUGACUUCUCUAUCACUGUGAAGAUCCUAGAUGACAUCUUCUUCCAUUACAAGGCUGUUUGGUCAAUGCUGAAAAUCUGUUGUGUAAUGUAGCCACCUCAUGAAUAUCUUUGCUAUAUCUUGUAAGUAAUUUGCUGCAGAUUCUAUAUCAUCAUUUAUUGGUUCACUUUGUACUUUUAUGUUAUGGAGGCAGCUUCUUUCCUUCAGCAUUGUUAUCCAACCUCCAGAAGCUUCAAAUUUUCUUCUGCAGCUUCCUCACCUCUCUCUCAGCUUUCAUUGAAUUGAAAAGAGUUAGAUCCUUGCUCUGGAUUGGACUUUGACUGAAGGGAUUGUGGUGGGUGGUCUGAUCUUCUAUCCAGACCACUAAGACUAUCCCCAUAUCAGCAAUGAGGCAUUCCUUUGUCUCUUUUUGAUGUAUUACAGGUAAUUUUGUAGUUCAUUAGGCAAUCCUGUCCAAUCUCUAAUAUGUAGCAAUAAAUAAGUAAUAUUGUGGUAUUAAUAUUACAUUAUUAAUUUCCUUGAAAUGAAAAAACUUAUUACAGAAUGCUGUAUUAGUCUCACUUCUACAUUUAAUUUAUGCUUUGAUAUCUUCCUGAAACAAUAUGAAUUUAUUUAGUCUUUUAAGGUUGAAAUCUAUUUUCAAUUUUUAAAUUAAAAAAUCAACAGGUAAAUUUUGGUUUUUGUUUGUUUUUUUCUCUUUUUUGUCUUUUCUAGGGCCGCACCUGCGGGAUAUGGAGAUUCCCAGGCUAGGGCUCCAAUGGGAGCUGUAGCUGCCAGCCUACACCACAGGCACAGCAAUGCAGGAUCCUUAACCCACUGAGCAAGGCCAGGGAUUGAACCCACAACCUCAUGGUUCCUAGUUGGAUUUGUUAACCACUGAGCCACGACAGGAACUCUGGUAAGUUUUGUCUUAAAGAAAACCAGCAUCCUACUGUACAGCACAGGGAAUUGUGUCCAUGGAAGAUAGUAUGAGAAAAAGGAUGUGUGUGUGUGUAUGACUGAGUCACUUUUUUGUACAGCAGAAAUUGGCACAACAUUUUAAAUCAACUCUAAUUUUAAAAAAUACAAAAAAUAAAUAAAUAAAACACCAGCAGCAACCAUUCAGUAGUUUAAUUCACAAUAAUAUGAACAGCUCAGAGGACCGAGAGCUGGUCAUGAGAUGACUUUGCCUUAUAGGAUCAUGGUCUCGUAUCUGUAGUACCACUUGAUAAACAUUUAUUGAGUGCCUACUGUAUACACGUAGAUCCUGAGCUAGUGUCUCUAUACUUGAGAAGCUUAGAUUUGAAGACUUCAUGAACUCGAUUUUUGUUCGAACUUUACUUUUCCCAUAAAUAUUUAUUUUUUCUUCAUUUUCCUGUAAAUAUUUAAACACCUUCCAUGGUGAAGUUACUGUGCCAUGUUUUAUGGUAGAGGACAGUUUCUGCUUUCCCACUGCUUAUACAUAAAUAAGGUAGACUGGAUUUUAUGAUCACUGAAGGGCAAAACAAAUUGUGUCCUGUAGCAUCAGACAGCUAUGAACAAAAAAUAUGCAGGGGUUCCAAAAGGAGUCAUGUUCAGCUGAAUAGAUCAAGGAAUACUGUAGGGCAGGUGACUUUUAAGUCUGACCUUGAUUGAUGUCAGGAAAGAAGGAACGUUUAAGGUGAGAUUAUAAGACAACAACAUGUAGUACUUACCUUGACUAGAGAACACUAUUAAUUAGUUCUAGUAAAUCAGAUCUCCUGAAGUUCUUAUCCACGUUUGCUUUUCCUUUCCUUUAGAGUAUUUCUACAUAAAAUUAAAAAUGGAGUUCCCUUCCUGGAGCAGUGGAAACGAAUCCGACUAGGAACCAUGAGGUUGUGUGUUCAAUCCCUGGUCUCACUCAGUGGGUUAAGGAUCCAGCAUUACUGUGGCUGUGGUGUAAGCUUGCAGCUGCAGCUCCAACUGGACUCCUAGCCUGGGAACCUCCAUGUGCCUCAGACACGGCCCUAAAAAGACAAAAGACAAAAAAAUAAAUAAAAAACAAGGUCCUAGGAGUUUCUGUUUUAGUUCAGCGUGUUAAGGACCCAACAUAGUCUCCUUUUGGAUUCAGGUUUGAUCCCUGGCCUCCUUCUGUGGGUUAAGGAUCUGGCAUUGCUGCAAGCUGCAGUGUAGAUCACAGAUAUGUCUCAGAUGUGGUGUUGCUAUGGCUGUGGUGUAGGCCCCAACUGCAACUCAGAUUCAACCCCUAGGCCAGGAANGGAAAAAAAAUAAAAAAAAAAAAAAAAAAAAAAAA
rnacentral:lncRNA from 1 species